UUCUUAGUGGCAGAUAAAGUGCAAUGAAUUUAAGCUUCAAACAUGAUUUUAUUAUCCUAAGAAA
rnacentral:tRNA from 1 species